AACGAACGCUGGCGGCAGGCCUAACACAUGCAAGUCGAGCGGAUGAGGGGUGCUUGCACCCCGAUUCAGCGGCGGACGGGUGAGUAAUGCCUAGGAAUCUGCCCGAUAGUGGGGGACAACGUUUCGAAAGGAACGCUAAUACCGCAUACGUCCUACGGGAGAAAGCGGGGGCUCUUCGGACCUCGCGCUAACAGAUGAGCCUAGGUCGGAUUAGCUAGUUGGUGGGGUAAUGGCUCACCAAGGCGACGAUCCGUAACUGGUCUGAGAGGAUGAUCAGUCACAAUGGAACUGAGACACGGUCCAGACUCCUACGGGAGGCAGCAGUGGGGAAUAUUGGACAAUGGGCGAAAGCCUGAUCCAGCCAUGCCGCGUGUGUGAAGAAGGUCUUCGGAUUGUAAAGCACUUUAAGUCGGGAGGAAGGGCUGUAGGUUAAUACCCUGCGGUUUUGACGUUACCGACAGAAUAAGCACCGGCUAACUUCGUGCCAGCCGCCGCCGUAA
rnacentral:rRNA from 1 species